rnacentral:rRNA from 1 species
AUGUGUCCUGUGACUGUAUGCUCGACACUUGAUUCACAAAAUCAUGAGUUCAAAGCGCUGAUAUUCAAGUUCAUGGUUAAUGGCAGCCUUGACAGAUGGUUACACUCUGAGCAACACAAUGGAAUCCCAGGAAGAAUGCUAAACUUUGGCAAGAGGAUAUGCAUAGCGGCAGAUGUGGCUUCUGCUCUUGAUUAUGUCCACAACCAACUAACGCCUCCUUUGAUCCAUUGUGAUUUGAAGCCAGAGAACAUCAUUUUGGACGAUGACAUGACCGCGCGGCUCAGUGAUUUUGGCUCAGCAAAGUUUUUGUCACCAGAUAUGUUUAUUCCUGAAAGCCUGGAUGAUGUUGGAGGAACAGUUGGAUACAUGGCACCCGAGUACGGGACUGGUUACGAGAUCUCCGUAGGAGCUGAUGCAUAUAGUUUUGGAGUGCUUCUGCUGGAGUUGCUUACCGGAAAACGACCAACCGAUGAUAUGUUUGUGGAUGGACUUACCCUUCCCAUUUUCUCUGAAUCCAUGUUUUCCCUGAAAGAGUCGCGGAGAUUCUAG